GCAAUGUGUUGAACGUUCAGUGUCAGUUCUGGCAGGCCAAGUAGUCAAGACGCUGCUAAACCGUUAUUGGCCAACAACACGGUCGCAGCAGCUGGUCUGCAGCAGCUGGUCUGGAGCAGCUGGUCUGGAGCAGCUGGUCUGC